rnacentral:sRNA from 1 species
UUCCCGUUCCCGCAGGGAAGUGGACGAC